GCGGCCACCACCUAUGUUGGGCGCUGCCAGUUCGCCCAGGGUGCCCCAGGGUGGGGGCGCCCCAGGGCGGGGGGCCGGGGGGCCCUGAACCGGAUUCUCCCCGCCACCCCCACCCCUCGGGGCCAGGAGACCCCAGCUGAACCCACUCACGCCCACCUGUGGGCCCCCCUCCCCCGUUAAGCUCAGCACCAGAGGCUCAGCAAUGGGCACCGAGGGCGAGCCCGUUGUUCCCACGUCUUCCAGGGCCUUGUCCAUUCAGGCAUCCUCAACCGGCCUCCCCGCCCGGGCCACCCCGCCCUCCAGCCUCCCUCCCUGCCCACAGUGGUCGCCCGGGGGCCCGCGGCGUGGCGGAUCCGGGCGCCACCUAGCGUCUGGUUUGCUCACCUGCGUCUGCAGGCAUCCGAAGGAAGAGCCCAGGGAAGUUUCUGGGGUUCAAACUUUGCAGGGCGUCUUUGGUGUCACUGUGAACACAGGUGUCACAGGUGCGCACACAGCUCCCUGCUAUGGCCUGGGAAAGCAGUGGAAGAUGGCCCAAGUGCUUGGGCCCUUGCAUCCAUAUCGGGGACCUGGAAGAAGCUCCUGGCUCCUGGCUCCGGACUGGCCCAGCCCUGGCCAUUGCAGCCAUCUGGGGAGUGGACCAGCAGAUGGAAGACCUGUCUCUCUGUCUCUUCCUUUCUAUAA